rnacentral:sRNA from 1 species
CAUGGUUCAUGGUAUAUUCUAAUCAAGUACUUCUUUGUUCGGAAUAUUUUGGUUUCAAGUUUCAUCAGUAAACUUCUUCCAAAUAUACACCUUUCAAGAUUUACCGAAUAAUUUGUGCCAAUUGCACGUAGGAGGAUUUUUAUUUAUGGAACACGGAACAGUUAAAUGGUUUAAUGCAGACAAAGGUUAUGGCUUCAUUACUCGCGACAACGGUAGCGAUGUAUUCGUACAUUUCUCAGCUAUCCAAGGCGACGGCUACAAGACUUUAGACGAAGGCCAAAGCGUAACAUUUGAUGUUGAAGACAGCGAUCGUGGCCCACAAGCUACUAACGUUGUUAAAGACUAAUUAUUAGUUUUUAAGGCACUCACUUUACGGUGAGUGUUUUUUU